UUAGAGGAAAUUGCAACUUUUGGCCCAAAGGUUUGAAUAAUUAAAUUCAAACCUAUAGUUUUUUUUUAAUAUAAUUUUGGGACUCACAAUCUCAUUUUUAUAUUAUUUUUCUCUCUUCCUCUCACGUUGCUCGGCGUUUUCUCGCAAGGGGGGAUUAUUUUCUUUUUCUUCAGAUUAUAUUGACAAAGAUAGUGGUGAAAAAGGAGUUGUGAAGGGGAACUUGUUAUUCAAGACACAAGGAGCGAGUCCGGCCGAGAAAGCACCAGAGGUGUAACUGUGGUGUAUGAGACACCAUCUUUUACGUUGCCUCUUAUUUUAGAUUAUACAAUGUAUCUUGUGCCAACUUAGGACAUAUCUUCUUUGUGAAGCAUGUAAACUCUAAUCCUUUUUAUUAAAAGUAUUUAUAUGACCAAGAGGAUUAUGUCUGUCGCUCUUGAUUUAUGAUCUGAUUUGAAUAACAUGCUAUGAGGAUCAUGUCUGUCCCUCAUGGUUCUAAUUGUUUUUUUUUUAGA